AGAGUUUGAUCCUGGCUCAGAUUGAACGCUGGCGGCAGGCCUAACACAUGCAAGUCGAACGGUAACAGGAAGAAGCUUGCUUCUUUGCUGACGAGUGGCGGACGGGUGAGUAAUGUCCGGGAAACUGCCUGAUGGAGGGGGAUAACUACUGGAAACGGUAGCUAAUACCGCAUAACGUCGCAAGACCAAAGAGGGGGACCUUCGGGCCUCUUGCCAUCGGAUGUGCCCAGAUGGGAUUAGCUAGUAGGUGGGGUAACGGCUCACCUAGGCGACGAUCCCUAGCUGGUCUGAGAGGAUGACCAGCCACACUGGAACUGAGACACGGUCCAGACUCCUACGGGAGGCAGCAGUGGGGAAUAUUGCACA
rnacentral:rRNA from 1 species